UCUCCCUCUUUUCUUUCUUUACCUUCUUUCCUUUUUUAUUUCCCUUUAAAAAAUUUUAUUUCUGUAUGUCUUUCUUUCUUAUUUUAGAAAACCACUUUAUGCCGCUCGACAUGAGACAAACAGUAUUGGCCAAAUCACUUCCCCAGGAGACUGUCAUGUGGAGAUCUCUCAUUAUUUCCAGAGAAAGGAUCUAGCUCUGUUUUCCAGACUGGAGUGCAGUGAUGCUAUCAUAGCCUUGACCUCCCAAGCUCAAACGAUCCUCCCACUCAAGCCUCCCGAGUAGGUGAGACUACAGGUGCACCCCACCAUGCACAGGUGGGCAAGGACAUCGAAGUGCUCUAUACAGAAGCAGAAUGAAUAAAAGCAUCCUGGAAGACAAUUUCUUGGCUUGCUAAAAGUUUUAAAUUAUUAUAUUCCAUAGAUUCCUAUGCAAAGCAAUAUUUCAAAAAGUGUGUGUGUGUGUAUGUGGCGGGGGCGGGUGGUGGCUAACUUGACCCCAGGGGCACUUGGAAUCUCUGGAGACAUUUUUGAUUGUCGUAACUGGGGGUGGUCCAGGGUGGCCACUGGUAUUUAAUCUAUAGAAGACAGAGAUGCUGCUAAGCAUCCUGCAGUGCAUGGGCAGCCCCAUGUCCUCACACCAGGAAUUGUAUGCUCCAAAAUAUCAAUAGUGUCAAGGUUCAGAAAUCCGGAUAUGAGAUGUAAAAUAUAAGGGGAAAAAAGCCAAUGCAGAAUGAGAGAUGUGGGAGAUAGCACACCAUGACAGAAUUUUAUACUAUGCUAAGAAGUUUGGACAUUACUACCAAAGAGGAAUGCCAAAAGGAUUUAAUAUUGUUUUCUUUUCUAAGAAACACUAUUCUGAUCUAUAACAGCAGCUUUGCAAAUAAGGGACCAAAGUCCAAGCAGUUCGUUGAUUGUUUAUUGACCAAUGAACAUUAAGUGAAUUAUUAAGCGAAUUCAGAUUUGAAUAGACUGUGGCUUCAGUAAUGUCAUUUAUCUCAUUUGGGCCUCAGUUCUCUUAUUCGUAAAAUGAAAAGUCUGAAAUAGACAAUCCAAUGGGCCAUCAUGUAUUAAAAUUCUAACAUAAUAUGUCUGUGAGAAAAUAUAAUGUGGCGAAGAAUUGUUUUAUAUUUAUAUGCCGAUGUUAAUCUUAGUCACAUACAUGAAGAAGCACAUACAUAUACUCAUCUAUACUUUACCUCUCAACCUUCCUGACACAGAUUUAUAAAUGCACAGACUAUAAAGCUAGCUUGCUUUAGGUGUACUGAUGUGAGCUGAUGAAGCCUGAUGUGUGUUCCUUGUAAAAUCUUUAAAACAUUCGUUAAUACAAUUCUCCAUUGUCCUACCUGAAAUCAGAUAAUAAACUAAAUAAUCUUGAACAUACUUUUCUGUAUUGCUAAGAAAUUUUUUUUAACAAAUAUAGGAUCUGGAAUAAUUUUUGUUACAUUUCUAAGCCCUCAUUACCUGCGAUUAGAGAGAAUUGUACCAUCAAUAUAUAUUGUUUUUGGAGCCAGGAUCUUGCUCUGUUGCACAGGUUGGAGUUCAGUGGUGUGAUCCUAGCUCACUGUAGUCUCAAGCUCCUGGGCUUAAGUGAUCCUCUCACCUCAGCUUCCUGAGUAGCUGGGACUACAGGUAUUUGCCACAACAUCUGGCUAAUUUUUUGUUUUUGUAGAAAUGGAGUCAUGCUAUGUUGCUCAGGCUGGUCUCAAACACCUGGCUUCAAGCGAUUCUCCUUGACUUGACCUCCCAAAACUUUGGGAUUAUAGGUGUGAGAUACUGUCACUGGCUGGUCCCAUGAAUUUAUAAUGAUUUCAUCACAUCAACAAUAAAUGUCAGAUGCCACAUGUCACUAAAAUAAGUUUUCUUAUUGUUUAUUGGAUAGAACUUGACUUCUAAGUUAUUGUAAAAUACUUAACUUUAGAUAAUUGUGCCUGUAUUAUAUUAUCAAAAGGAACAUGUAAUAAACAAAAUGAAUUUGUG
rnacentral:lncRNA from 1 species